rnacentral:rRNA from 1 species
UACACACCGCCCGUCACACCAUGGGAGUUGGUUUUACCCGAAGCCGGUGCGCUAACUCGCAAGAGAGGCAGCCGACCACGGUAAGGUCAGCGACUGGGGUG